UUAUCGGAGAGUUUGAUCCUGGCUCAGGACGAACGCUGGCGGCGUGCCUAAUACAUGCAAGUCGAGCGGACAGAUGGGAGCUUGCUCCCUGAUGUUAGCGGCGGACGGGUGAGUAACACGUGGGUAACCUGCCUGUAAGACUGGGAUAACUCCGGGAAACCGGGGCUAAUACCGGAUGGUUGUUUGAACCGCAUGGUUCAAACAUAAAAGGUGGCUUCGGCUACCACUUACAGAUGGACCCGCGGCGCAUUAGCUAGUUGGUGAGGUAACGGCUCACCAAGGCAACGAUGCGUAGCCGACCUGAGAGGGUGAUCGACCACACUGGGACUGAGACACGAGUACCAGACUCCUACGGGAGGCAGCAGUAGGGAAUCUUCCGCAAUGGACGAAAGUCUGACGGAGCAACGCCGCGUGAGUGAUGAAGGUUUUCGGAUCGUAAAGCUCUGUUGUUAGGGAAGAACAAGUACCGUUCGAAUAGGGCGGUACCUUGACGGUACCUAACCAGAAAGCCACGGCUAACUACGUGCCAGCAGCCGCGGUAAUACGUAGGUGGCAAGCGUUGUCCGGAAUUAUUGGGCGUAAAGGGCUCGCAGGCGGUUUCUUAAGUCUGAUGUGAAAGCCCCCGGCUCAACCGGGGAGGGUCAUUGGAAACUGGGGAACUUGAGUGCAGAAGAGGAGAGUGGAAUUCCACGUGUAGCGGUGAAAUGCGUAGAGAUGUGGAGGAACACCAGUGGCGAAGGCGACUCUCUGGUCUGUAACUGACGCUGAGGAGCGAAAGCGUGGGGAGCGAACAGGAUUAGAUACCCUGGUAGUCCACGCCGUAAACGAUGAGUGCUAAGUGUUAGGGGGUUUCCGCCCCUUAGUGCUGCAGCUAACGCAUUAAGCACUCCGCCUGGGGAGUACGGUCGCAAGACUGAAACUCAAAGGAAUUGACGGGGGCCCGCACAAGCGGUGGAGCAUGUGGUUUAAUUCGAAGCAACGCGAAGAACCUUACCAGGUCUUGACAUCCUCUGACAAUCCUAGAGAUAGGACGUCCCCUUCGGGGGCAGAGUGACAGGUGGUGCAUGGUUGUCGUCAGCUCGUGUCGUGAGAUGUUGGGUUAAGUCCCGCAACGAGCGCAACCCUUGAUCUUAGUUGCCAGCAUUCAGUUGGGCACUCUAAGGUGACUGCCGGUGACAAACCGGAGGAAGGUGGGGAUGACGUCAAAUCAUCAUGCCCCUUAUGACCUGGGCUACACACGUGCUACAAUGGACAGAACAAAGGGCAGCGAAACCGCGAGGUUAAGCCAAUCCCACAAAUCUGUUCUCAGUUCGGAUCGCAGUCUGCAACUCGACUGCGUGAAGCUGGAAUCGCUAGUAAUCGCGGAUCAGCAUGCCGCGGUGAAUACGUUCCCGGCUCCUUGUACACACCGCCCGUCACACCACGAGAGUUUGUAACACCCGAAGUCGGUGAGGUAACCUUUUAGGAGCCAGCCGCCGAAGGUGGGACAGAUGAUUGGGGUGAAGUCGUAACAAGGUAGCCGUAUCGGAAGGUGCGGCUGGAUCACCUCCUUU
rnacentral:rRNA from 1 species